AGUGAACGCUGGCGGUAGGCCUAACACAUGCAAGUCGAACGGCAGCACAGGAGAGCUUGCUCUCUGGGUGGCGAGUGGCGGACGGGUGAGGAAUACAUCGGGAUCUACCUUUUCGUGGGGGAUAACGUAGGGAAACUUACGCUAAUACCGCAUACGACCUACGGGUGAAAGUGGGGGACCGCAAGUCCUCACGCGAUUAGAAGCGCGGAUGUACGAUUAGCUAGUUGGCGGGGUAAUGGCCCACCAAGGCGACGGUCGGUAGCUGGUCUGAAGGGCUGAUCAGCCACACUGGAACUGAGACACGGUCCAGACUCCUACGGGAGGCAGCAGUGGGGAAUAUUGGACAAUGGGCGCAAGCCUGAUCCAGCCAUACCGCGUGGGUGAAGAAGGCCUUCGGGUUGUAGAGCCCUUUUGUUGGGAAAGAAAUCCUGUCGAUUAAUACUCGGUGGGGAUGACGGUACCCAAAGAAUAAGCACCGGCUAACUUCGUGCCAGCAGCCGCGGUAACAC
rnacentral:rRNA from 1 species